rnacentral:rRNA from 1 species
AUACGUAGGUGGCAAGCGUUGUCCGGAAUUAUUGGGCGUAAAGCGCGCGCAGGUGGUUCCUUGAGUCUGAUGUGAAAGCCCCCGGCUCAACCGGGGAGGGUCAUUGGAAACUGGGGAACUUGAGUGCAGAAGAGGAUAGUGGAAUUCCAAGUGUAGCGGUGAAAUGCGUAGAGAUUUGGAGGAACACCAGUGGCGAAGGCGACUGUCUGGUCUGAAACUGAACCUGAGGCGCGAAAGCGUGGGGAGCAAACAGGAUUAGAUCCCCUGGUAGUCCACGCCGUAAACGAUGAGUGCUAAGUGUUGGGGGGUUUCCGCCCCUCAGUGCUGCAGCUAACGCAUUAAGCACUCCGCCUGGGGAGUACGGUCGCAAGACUGAAACUCAAAUGAAUUGACGGGG